CCCGAGUGCCCCAUCUCGCCUCUCGCCUUUCCAGUUUCCCCUCGCCUCCGCCAUCGCCUCCUCCCCUCUCCUCUCUCUCCCGUCUCCUCCCCACCCUCUACUGCUCCACCACACACCCACCACCCCUCUGGAUCAGGUGCAGGCCGGCCGGUGCGCGCAGGAGGCGGCACUCCACUCGAGGGCAAAGGGAGGCAACGGCGGCGGUGGCCGCCGUGGACACCCGCGGCUAUGACGAACCCUGCCGCCAGGAGGCCGCCACGGAGGCCCGUCCCGAGCUCGGCUCGCCGAUCCUCCGGUGACCCUCGUUGCACCUAGAUCCGGGUCGGGCGGAUCCGACGGAGGAGCCCUCCCAUGGCACCGGCGGCUCUGGAGAUGAGGGUUGCACAGAGGAAGAGGAGCAGCAGCAGCUCGAGGUCAUUAAGGGAGGAGGCCACAGUCGUCUUACCGCCGCUGCCGAACAGUGAGCGAGAGAAACAACGAUGGUGAGGUCCCCUGCAUCGAUGAGUAGUCGCAGGGAGUCGUCGCCAAGUGCUCCGUCCGCAUCGCCGGAAACAUGCUGCGUGCUCGAGAACGCACGAGUGCCACCACACGUCGCCCACACCCCCUCCUCCGCUCGCUCUCGUCUCCGUCAGGCUGCUGAUGUUCACUGCACUGGAGGGAGAGGACAAGAGUAAGAGAGCAAGAACAAUAGAUGAUUCGGUUAUUUGUGAAACUGACAGCUCUUGUGAGGAGCAAGGAUAGAGAAGGCUAUGAACCAAUGAGAUAAGUUUUAUUUCCAGUUUUUCAAUGAGGAUAUGCCAUAUGUUUAGCUGCUAAUAUUUACAUAUGGUGUACGUAAUAAGUUGUCUUGCUGGCUCUUUAUGUGUAUCGUUUGAAAAAAUUGCGGCACAUGAACAUCAUCUUUAUCCAAAUAUCUUCAGAUAUAACUGACAUCCCAGCAGCGCGUGGGAGCCGGUGUCUUCGGCCAGAGCUGGGUCUCCUUGCCGGCGACCUUGCCAUCACCAGCCUAUCUGCAGUUUUGCAGGGAUGGACAUAUGGAUUGAAUGGUACCCUCCUGAAAUCUACACAGAUGUCAGAUCGGAGAAAGAAGAGAUGAAGAACAAUUUUAAUUGAAGAGUUGAAGAAGACUAAGCACGAGUCCCCCUGAAGUGCUUGACCACCGGCCGGUUGCAGUGGAGGUCAGCAUCACCUCGCUGUGGCCAUCCUGGGCGCCGAGAGAAUUAGCUGAAAAUUCUUGCUGAGAUCCAGGUCACGGGCCAUCCCCAUUCAGGUGGCUAUGAAACUUGUUCCUAACGAAGAUAAAUUUAUGGAGGUGGCUAGGGGAACAGGAGGAGCAAGUUUAGCCUGGCAGGUGCUUCUCAGGUUCGAUGGCUUCCAACAAGGGAGCGAUAUCCAUGCUCUGCAUCAAGGUCGUAGUGCUUUCUUCAUGGGUUCGGCCUUUGCCAUUAAGGCUAAUGAUAAAUUUUGGAAAGUCAAAUAUGACCAUGCUGCUGCAAAGAAAGCCAGAAAAGCCAAGAAAGCCGCCAG